rnacentral:lncRNA from 1 species
GGCCGGGCGGGGGGGCCCUCCCUCCCCAACGCGGCCUGGAGCCCCUUCGGCUCAGGUGAGGGCCGCCCCACGGGGGCUCGGAGGGGACAACAAGCGCUCGCCGGGCGCGCGGAGGGACCAAAAGCAGGGUGUCCUAAAGAUGGAUAUAGAGGACUGCAAUGGACGCUCUUACAUAUCUGGAAUCUCUUCUUCCUGGAAGGUGAGUGGCUGAGUUCACCCUACUGCCGAGAUGCAGCCACACACACUCACAGUCUGUAUGCCAGCGCUGUUUCCAAGGAGUUGGCUGUGAUAACACUCCAGGGUAUCGUCAGCAAGGUAGAAUAAUGUAGUGGAGAUUCCUCUUUGGAAAAGGAGUUCACCUCCACCAUUGUGGGGCCAACAGUGAGCACACCAAACAGCCAACACUCCUCCCCAAGCCGCUCCCUUAGUGGUGAGUAUUUAAUCUUGGGAUUCCAAUAAUUCACCCUGAAAAUGCAUUAUACUACGUUUUGACUGGGCUAGUGACCACAUUCAAAGGAAGACCAAUUUUCUGUUCUUGAGAUCUUCUUGCACCAGAGUACUAAAAAUGCCAAAACAAAGCACAACUGAAAUAGGUAGCAAGUUUACAUCUGGUCUUGAAUAAUAGACACUUCUUACUGUUAAGCAUGUUAGAAAAAAGCUAUCUCAUUGCCCAUGAAGGCUUUUAGAAGAGAUGAUCAACUUUUUUUAAACAGCAAAGUGACAUUCUUGAGAAAUUGGAGUACCAUACAAACCAUGCCACACUUUGCAAACUCCUAAUCUAAACCAAUAACUAUCUUUUCCAUUUGAUAAGACCAAGAUGUAAAAAUCAUGAAGUUCUCUGGAAAUUUUCAUAGGAUCAGAAUAUAGUGGAGCUAAGGGCUCUCAGGGUUGAAAUACUGGAACUUCAAAGGGAACCCCUUAGAUUUUAUUUGAAGACAUUGAAUCACUUUACAAUUCCUGUUACAUUAGAAAAGAAAAAGGCUGUUCAAGGCACUCUCUGUCAUAGUGAAUGGCAGCAGAUUGGAAUUGUUGACGGAAAGCAUUUACUGAUGUUGGCUUAUAUAAUGCAGAGAUUAGUUGGGGAAUUUAAAUACAAAGAGUACUAGGAAAAGACUAGUAUGCAUUAAUGGAUUCUAACUUGUUGCUGUCUGAAACUUCAGUCCUUGCUUGCUGUAAUUUAUAGUUAUUUUGUGUGUGAAAGAAACCAAAUUCUGUGGGAAAGUAUGAAGUUGCCAAAUUGUAGAAUGAACUUCUUGUUGUGGGUCUUCAGAUCUACUCUACCUUAUGGUGUCCUUCCCAUAGGGUUUGAUUAAGGCGGCUUGUUCACAUGAGAUUUGCCAUUGCCUUCCUCUGAAAUUGAGGGUGUAGACCUGUCUAGGGCCAUCCAGUGGGUUUCUAUAGUUGAGCGUGAUUCAGACCGAAUCAUCUGGGCUCUAAAACAAUCAAACUAGUAUACCAUGCUGGUAGAAUAACAGUUGUCUGCUUUUGGGAAUUGGAAAUAAUCCGUGUUUUUCAUUUGGUUUCUGCAUUACGUUGACUUUUUAUGAUUUUUCGCAUGAUAGAGCUGCAACAUCAUUUCUUACUCUGAAGUCUCUUGAUAUAUAUCCCAUCUGAUAGCCAGCUUGUAAAUGGUCACUUUGGAACCAAUGCAAGUAGAAGGGUGGGGUAUAAAAUAAAUAAAAACAAUUUCUUGGUUUUCAUCAUUUGGAAAAGAAUAUUCAGAAGUUCAUAUAAUGUGUUCUGCAUUUAGUUGAUUCCACAGAAAAUUAUCUGUUCUUUUGUUUGGUGUGAGAGACAAACUUGCUGAUUAAGUGAGCAUGCAGGAAAUAAAGAUGUUCCUCUUUAACAGGGAAACGCAGGCUCUUGGUGUUGCUUCUGAUCAGUCUUGAUUUCACAG